ACGCUGGCGGCGUGCCUAACACAUGCAAGUCGAACGGAGAUGUUCGCUGAAUUGACGAUAGCUUGCUAUUUGAUUUUCUUGGACAUCUUAGUGGCGGACGGGCGAGUAACGCGUGAGCAACCUGCCUUUCAGAGGGGAAUAACGACCGGAAACGGUCGCUAAUACCGCAUAACGUAUCAUGAUGGCAUCAUCGAGAUACCAAAGGAGUAAUUCGGUGAAAGAUGGGCUCGCGUCUGAUUAGCUAGUUGGUGAGGUAACGGCCCACCAAGGCGACGAUCAGUAGCCGACCUGAGAGGGUGAUCGGCCACAUUGGAACUGAGAAACGGUCCAAACUCCUACGGGAGGCAGCAGUGGGGAAUAUUGGGCAAUGGGGGAAACCCUGACCCAGCAACGCCGCGUGAAGGAAGAAGGUUUUCGGAUCGUAAACUUCUAUCCUUGGUGAAGAUAAUGACGGUAGCCAAGAAGGAAGCCCCGGCUAACUACGUG
rnacentral:rRNA from 1 species